UUAAGCGUGUAGGUGUGUGUUCCAGGUAAAUCCGGUUCACUUUAACACUGAGGCGUGACGACGAGGCACUACGGUGCUGAAGCAACAAAUGCCCUGCUUCCAGGAAAAGCCUCUAAGCAUCAGGUAACACGAAAUCGUACCCCAAACCGACACAGGUGGUCAGGUAGAGAAUACCAAGGCGCUUGAGAGAACUCGGGUGAAGGAACUAGGCAAAAUGGUGCCGUAACUUCGGGAGAAGGCACGCUGACACGUAGGUGAAGUGAUUUACUCAUGGAGCUGAAGUCAGUCGAAGAUACCAGCUGGCUGCAACUGUUUAUUAAAAACACAGCACUGUGCAAACACGAAAGUGGACGUAUACGGUGUGACGCCUGCCCGGUGCCGGAAGGUUAAUUGAUGGGGUCAGCGUAAGCGAAGCUCCUGAUCGAAGCCCCGGUAAACGGCGGCCGUAACUAUAACGGUCCUAAGGUAGCGAAAUUCCUUGUCGGGUAAGUUCCGACCUGCACGAAUGGCGUAAUGAUGGCCAGGCUGUCUCCACCCGAGACUCAGUGAAAUUGAACUCGCUGUGAAGAUGCAGUGUACCCGCGGCAAGACGGAAAGACCCCGUGAACCUUUACUAUAGCUUGACACUGAACAUUGAGCCUUGAUGUGUAGGAUAGGUGGGAGGCUUUGAAGUGUGGACGCCAGUCUGCAUGGAGCCGACCUUGAAAUACCACCCUUUAAUGUUUGAUGUUCUAACGUGGACCCGUAAUCCGGGUUGCGGACAGUGUCUGGUGGGUAGUUUGACUGGGGCGGUCUCCUCCUAAAGAGUAACGGAGGAGCACGAAGGUUGGCUAAUCCUGGUCGGACAUCAGGAGGUUAGUGCAAUGGCAUAAGCCAGCUUGACUGCGAGCGUGACGGCGCGAGCAGGUGCGAAAGCAGGUCAUAGUGAUCCGGUGGUUCUGAAUGGAAGGGCCAUCGCUCAACGGAUAAAAGGUACUCCGGGGAUAACAGGCUGAUACCGCCCAAGAGUUCAUAUCGACGGCGGUGUUUGGCACCUCGAUGUCGGCUCAUCACAUCCUGGGGCUGAAGUAGGUCCCAAGGGUAUGGCUGUUCGCCAUUUAAAGUGGUACGCGAGCUGGGUUUAGAACGUCGUGAGACAGUUCGGUCCCUAUCUGCCGUGGGCGCUGGAGAACUGAGGGGGGCUGCUCCUAGUACGAGAGGACCGGAGUGGACGCAUCACUGGUGUUCGGGUUGUCAUGCCAAUGGCACUGCCCGGUAGCUAAAUGCGGAAGAGAUAAGUGCUGAAAGCAUCUAAGCACGAAACUUGCCCCGAGAUGAGUUCUCCCUGAGACUUAGAGUCUCCUGAAGGAACGUUGAAGACGACGACGUUGAUAGGCCGGGUGUGUAAGCGCAGCGAUGCGUUGAGCUAACCGGUACUAAUGAACCGUGAGGCUUAACCUUACA
rnacentral:rRNA from 1 species